AAGUCGUAACAAGGUUUCCGUAGGUGAACCUGCGGAAGGAUCAUUAUCACGUAUCCACGUAUCAACCAUUGUGAACUAGUCGGUGACAUUUUGUUAGGGAGAUGAGAGGUAGUGUUACAAUUUUUUUAAUUGUAACCAACAAACGAAAGUUUGUUACUCUUAUUUCUUAUUUUCAAAAUGUUUUACCAUUUUAUUAACAAUUCAAACCCUAUUUUAAUAUAACUUUGAACUGAAUUAAUUUCUUACUUUUUUUUCGCAAGAAAAUUAAGAAGAAAUAAAUUUUACGAAACAUAAGAACAACUCUUAGCAACGGAUAUCUUGGUUCUCGUAAAGAUGAAGAACGCAGC
rnacentral:misc_RNA from 1 species